GGUUUCGCUUCGCUGGCGCCCGCAGUGCUCUUCCCCCGCCGAGGCCUGUGGUUUGUGGAGUCGAAUUUCCCUGCCACCAGUGCUCGGUUAGCAGGGGCGCCAGCCUGGGCGCCUGCGCGGACAGCGGGCGUCGUCACCAUGGCAGUAUCCGCUGGAGGCCCAGAAACGUAACAACAAAGCCUGGAUGACAGCACGUCUGUUUAUAGCAUGAUUUACAGAAUAUUUUAAGCCCACAGUGGGGACCUGCUGCUCAGGAAAAAAAAGAUUUCUUUCAAGAUAUUACUGUUCAUUGACAAGGCACCUGGUCACCCAAGAGCUCUGAUGGAGAUGUGCAAAGAGAUUGAUGUUGUUUUCCUGCAUGCUUGCAUCUAUUCUGCAGCCCAUGGAUCAAAGGCAAUCCCUUUUCUGGGCACAUACCCAAAGGAAAUGAAAUCACCACUUUGUAAAGAUAUCUGCACUCCCAUGUUCAUUGCAGCAUUAUUUACAGUAGCCAAGGAUCUUGGAGUGAAAAUAUACUGGAAUAUUUUCUGAGAAAUAGGCAGAUUACAGCAGAAGACGGCGCUGAGAUCACCUGGUAUCAUGCAGCUAACCACAAGGCACAAACGAAUGAGGCACUGAAAAAGCCUCCCAAAGUGCUGGGAUUACAGGUGUGAGCCACCACGCCCAGCAAAGAAAUUUACUUUUAUUAAGCCUGAUGCCUUUGACAGAAAACUCAGAUGAGUGGAUUGGCCACGUGAGAUGGCAGUGACAAAAACUUCAGUUUAAAAUGCCUUAUGGGUCUGCAUUGGCAUUCCUUCCCACUGAUGAAAUUCCAGGAGCUUUUAGUAAAUGAAAAGCUGCAUUUGCAUGAAGAACCCAGAGAAAUUACUGACUGGUUUGAAGAUAAUGACAUGCAUGGUCGGAUAAGAAGACAUGCCAUGGAGUUGCUUUUUGACCAUCAGUAUUGUUUCCACCAAAUUUGUGAUCUGCAUAUAAGUGCAUGUGAAAUGCAUUUCCACGUACCCAAAGCAGCAUAGAAGCAUGGCACAGAAGAUCGGAAAAUUUAAUAGAGAAUACUCAUGCAGGUACUGCUCACAUGAUAGAGGCUGAUGUCCUUCUUCCAAGUGAUGGAUCAGAACACAGCCAGCCAAUUAUGGCCCAUCCCCCUGAAACAAACAGUGAUAAUACUCUACAGGAGUGGCUGACUGAAGUUAUGAAAAGCAAUAAAGGCAUCAAGCUGGAUUUCAAAAGAGUAAGAGGCCCAAAAGGAGUGGAGAGAAGAGAGGUAGAAGCAUAGAUAGAAGUACUGCCAUCUCUUAGGAAGAGAGAGGGAAAUGUGAGGAGGGGUCGGUGAGUGUUCUCCCCUCCAAUAUCCAUCUCCAAAAUUCUUAGCCUCCCAUUACAAUAUUCACUACAAGUCUGGCAGCUGUAGAACCAUCCAUGAUGCUCUUGGAAAAUGUGAAGAGGCAUCUGAAGCGUCCUGUAUGGAUUAAUGCCGAUAUUCUUCCUGGUCCAAAUGGAAAUAGCAAAGUAAUAGAUGCAAAACCAUUUUUAGACACCGUGACAUCCUUCUUUCCAGACGUGACGUUUUCCCUGGGUUGGACAACAGGGUGGCAUCCUGAGAAAGUCAAUGAGGGGUACAGUUGGACAAUGGUGAAAGAGAUGGAAUAUAUAUGUAAUGAACUAAGUCAACCUGUAACGUUCCCUGUCAGAGCAGCAUUAGUCAGGCAGUCUUGUUCUCAGUUACUUUGGCUGUUAAAGAAAUCAAACAGGUACAGCCUGACUAUUUGGACUGGAAAAAAUGAUAACUAUUCCAUUGAAGAUUUACUUUACAUUAGAGACCAUUUUGACAAAAAACAAGUUUUCUAUGACAUCUUGGAACCACAAAACCAUGAAUUUAAACAAGCCAUUGGAAUCAAAGUUAAUCUCUAAGAAGAAGAUUCUCAAUUAUUUCCUGUGUUUUGGUUUCAUAAUCCUUCUCUCCAUUGGUCUGAAUUAAUUACCAUAUAAAUUAUGGUUAUUGAUUUACAUUCCAAGUCGUCUAAUCAAGAAACGUUUAUUGUGUGCUUACUGGGUGGGCAUAUGUCCUUAUAAUAGUGCACUUACAUAAAAGAUUUGGAAAGAAGAGAUUUAUUUCCACAC
rnacentral:sRNA from 1 species